CGCCCGCUCAGAAACUUAAAUAGAAGUUGACGGGGGAGCACCACAACAGGUGGAGCCUGCGGUUUAAUCGGACUCAACGCCGGGAAACUCACCAGAUAAGACAGCUGAAUGAUAGUCGGGCUGAAGACUCUACUUGACUAGCUGAGAGGAGGUGCAUGGCCGUCGUCAGUUCGUACUGUGAAGCAUCCUGUUAAGUCAGGCAACGAGCGAGACCACGCCAACAGUUGCCAGCUCGUCCUCCGGGAUGGUGGGGACACUGUUGGGACCGCCUCUGCUAAAGAGGAGGAAGGAAUGGGCAACGGUAGGUCAGCAUGCCCCGAAUUAUCUGGGCUACACGCGGGCUACAAUGGGUGGGACAAUGGGUAUCGACACCGAAAGGUGAAGGCAAUCUCCUAAACCCAUCCGUAGUUCGGAUUGUGGGCUGCAACUCGCCCACAUGAAGCUGGAAUCUGUAGUAAUCGUGUCUCAAAAUGGCACGGUGAAUAUGUCCCUGCUCCUU
rnacentral:rRNA from 1 species